UGGGGAAUAUUGCACAAUGGGCGCAAGCCUGAUGCAGCCAUGCCGCGUGUAUGAAGAAGGCCUUCGGGUUGUAAAGUACUUUCAGUCGGGAGGAAGGUGUCAAGGUUAAUAACCUUGGCAAUUGACGUUACCGACAGAAGAAGCACCGGCUAACUCCGUGCCAGCAGCCGCGGUAAUACGGAGGGUGCAAGCGUUAAUCGGAAUUACUGGGCGUAAAGCGCACGCAGGCGGUUGAUUGAGUCAGAUGUGAAAUCCCCGGGCUUAACCUGGGAAUUGCAUCUGAUACUGGUCAGCUAGAGUCUUGUAGAGGGGGGUAGAAUUCCAUGUGUAGCGGUGGAAUGCGUAGAGGUGUGGAGGAAUACCGGUGGCGAAGGCGGCCCCCUGGACAAAGACUGACGCUCAGGUGCGAAAGCGGGGGGAGCAAACAGG
rnacentral:rRNA from 1 species